rnacentral:lncRNA from 1 species
ACACUUAAAAUCUGGCACUGUCCUCAGUGCAAACAAAAAGAGGGGUGAAAGAGGAAACUUCCCUAAAUACCGAUCCAGUGGUGAGUCUGUAGCGUCCCACAAUGUCUGCCCAACUCGCAUCCCUAGAACAGGCAGUCUCCAACACAACAACCUGCACCAAACAACAGAAACAAAAGAACUCAAACACAAGCAAAAACGAAAGAUAAACGAAAACAAGAAAAAAGAAAGAAACAUGGGUUGCCUCCCAUGCAGCGCUAGUUUUAAAGUCGCCAGCCCGACUAGGAGAACCGCUUAACCAAAAUCCGAUUGAAGCUCUAGCUGCCUUAACGCCCUUGUAAAC